rnacentral:rRNA from 1 species
CCUACGGUGUGCAGCAGUGAGGAAGAUUGGUCAAUGGACGAGAGUCUGAACCAGCCAAGUAGCGUGAAGGAUGACUGCCCUAUGGGUUGUAAACUUCUUGUAGAAAGGAAUAAAACGAGGAACGGGGGCCUUUUUGCAUGUACUUUAUGAAUAAGGAUAGGCUAAAUACGUGCCAGCAGCCGCGGUAAGAAGGAGGAUCCGAGCGUUAGCCGGAUUGAAUGGGUUUAAAGGGAGCGUAGAUGGGUUGUUAAGUCAGUUGUGAAAGUUUGCGGCUCAACCGUAAAAUUGCAAUUGAUACUGGCAGUCUUGAGUACAGUUGAGGUAGGCGGAAUUCGUGGUGUAGCGGUGAAAUGCUUAGAUAUCACGAAGAACCCCGAUUGCGAAGGCAGCUUACUAAACUGUGACUGACAUUGAUGCUCGAAAGUGUGGGUAUCAAACAGGAUUAGAUACCCCUGUAGUC